rnacentral:rRNA from 1 species
GAUGAACGCUGGCGGCGUGCCUAAUACAUGCAAGUCGAACGCAUAGCGAAAGGUGCUUGCACCUUUCAAGUGAGUGGCGAACGGGUGAGUAACACUUGGACAACCUGCCUCAAGGCUGGGGAUAACAUUUGGAAACAGAUGCUAAUACCGAAUAAAACUUAGUGUCGCAUGACACAAAGUUAAAAGGCGCUUCGGCGUCACCUAUAGAUGGAUCCGCGGUGCAUUAGUUAGUUGGUGGGGUAAGGCCUACCAAGACAAUGAUGCAUAGCCGAGUUGAGAGACUGAUCGGCCACAUUGGAACUGAGACACGGCCCAAACUCCUACGGGAGGCUGCAGUAGGGAAUCUUCCACAAUGGGCGAAAGCCUGAUGGAGCAACGCCGCGUGUGUGAUGAAGGCUUUCGGGUCGUAAAGCACUGUUGUAUGGGAAGAACAGCUAGAAUAGGAAAUGAUUUUAGUUUGACGGUACCAUACCAGAAAGGGACGGCUAAAUACGUG